ensembl:snoRNA SNORD39 Small nucleolar RNA SNORD55/SNORD39
GGGGCGCCCUGAUGACACCUUGGUUACUGCUGCAAACACCGAGUCUGCGAUGGUGGGGAUGCAAACCUUGGAGAACUGAGCGCCUCC